UAGUCUUUUGAGGUUUUAUGAGAGAUGUUUUCUGCUCAGUGAUAAUAAACAGCCGCGGUAAUUUGACUGUGCGAAGGUAGCGUAAUCAUUUGCCUUGUAAUUUGAGGCUUGUAUGAAUGGAGGUACAAAGGCUUAUCUGUCUUGAUUGAGUUUUUGGAAGUUGUUUUUAUUGUGAAGAAACAGUGAUGAGGUAAUGGGACAAGAAGACCCUUUUGAGCUUUACUUUUUUAAGAGUGUUUGCUUUUGUAAAAGUUUGGUUGGGGCGAUCGAGGAAGAUGUGUGGAUCUUCCUUUAUAUAGAUAUAUAGGAUCCAGAAUUUUUGAUUAAAAGAAUAAGUUACCAAAGGGAUAACAGCGUAAUUUUUUUUGUGAGUUCUUAUUAAAAAAAAAGAUUGCGACCUCGAUGUUGACUUAUAAUUUCCUUUAGGUGUAGUUGCUUAAAAGGUGGGUCUGUUCGACCUUUAAAAUUUU
rnacentral:rRNA from 1 species